AACAAUGGAAAAAAAUGGGUCUGGGGCGAGGGGAUUCGAACCCCAGAAUUCUUGCACACACAAAGCCUUAACAUGCACGCUUCAACCACUAGGGUGGUGAUACAUCCAUUAAAUUAUUUGCAAACAUUUAAUUAUAUAAUAAAACAAGUUUCACAAAUUUAAAAAUGGCGCCAUCAUCAUCUUCUUCCUCGUGUUUCAACAUCACCA
rnacentral:lncRNA from 1 species